AACACUGGAACGAGACUGCUUAAAUUGAAGCACAGUGUGCGAAUGACCUGCUACGCUCGGAACUGUUAUCACCAUUCGGGAAGAAAUUGGAUGAAAAAACAUAACUCUAAAUACCUGUAUGAUAUACGUCUGGUGCAUUGCAGGUAAGAAUGGAUUGUGUGUGGCGCGCUUCACCGCAUGUGGACUAGAGUAGAUCUAGGAACAUCAGACAAGAAGACACGUAUGUGAAACCCUGCGGAUAGCCCAUAUGUAAGUUCUUCCUCAAUUUUUCUUUUGUUGCAUUUUCGUAGUUUACGUGUAAUACUUUGUCACCGCGGUCUCGACGUUAUGUAUACCUAUACAUUUGUCUCGUGGCAGUCUGCGUGCUAUUUUGUUUGUGCAACUAUGUGUUGUAUUCAUUUAUCGCGCUGCCUGGAUGUUUUUUUUUUUUUUUCACUGAUAUUCCGACCAAAGUCGGUAAACCUAUCCUUCCUGUCCUCAUGUUUCCUUGGGCGGCUCUAAAGCGUAUCUUAGAGGAAUAUUUAGCUUCAGAUUCCCGCAUGGAACAGAUGGUGAACUUUUUUUCCAGAUACGGAGGAACGGACACCGGUCGUGCCGUGAGCACUAUUCUGCAGGGCAUACUUACAAAUGAAGCUGCACUGCAGUUCAGCUGGAAAGGGUCGCAGGGGAGGAAGCACGCCUUCGUGAAGCUCAUGGCCAUCACGAAUAUAACAUCUGUGAGGAGCACGUUCCCUGACGCUUCACUAGCAUCAGUGGCUGGAGUCGCAAAACGCUGGUUGGUUGGAGCAGCUGACAGGGAUGGAGGCCGGAAUGAAAGAAGGCGCCGUGACCCUGCUUCAAGCCCACCAAAUAUGAACUAGUGUUUGAAACUUGUGAACGUGUCGGUGUACAUAUACAAUUACAAGAAAUAAAGACCUGUAUCAGAAUCUUUUGCCUGGCAUUUAUGUGGCAUGAAAAGUACAAAAAAGCGUUCGCUUUCGUGUGGUACUUCUAUGCCGGCCACCACACAAGCA
rnacentral:lncRNA from 1 species